CCCCGGAGUCUGGGAUAACCUCCAGAAAUGGUGGCUAAUACCGGAUAUUAUGCCGAAAGGCAUCUUUUGUGUAUGAAAGGACUUCGGUUCGCUCCGGGAUCGGCCCGCGGCCUAUUAGCUUGUUGGUAGGGUAACGGCCUACCAAGGCUGCGAUGGGUAGCCGGCCUGAGAGGGUGGUCGGUCACACUGGGACUGAGACAUGGUCCAGACUCCUACGGGAGUUAGCAUCAGGGAAUCUUGCUCAAUGGGCGAAAGCCUGAAGCAGCGACGCCGCGUGGGUGAUGAAGGCCUUCGGGUCGUAAAGCCCUGUCAGGGGGGACGAAUGCCGGGUGCUUAGCGCACCCGGAGUGACGGUACCCCCAAAGGAAGCCCCGGCUAACUACGUGCCAGCAGCCGCGGUAAGACGUAGGGGGCGAGCGUUGUCCGGAUUUAUUGGGCGUAAAGCGCGCGUAGGCGGCCAGGUAAGUCGUAGGUGAAAUCCCUGGGCUCAACCCAGGAACGGCUUACGAUACUGCUUGGCUAGAGUACGGGAGAGGAGAGUGGAAUUGCUGGUGUAGCGGUGAAAUGCGUAGAUAUCAGCAGGAACGCCCGUGGCGAAGGCUGCUCUCUGGAACGCUACUGACGCUGAGGCGCGAAAGCUAGGGGAGCAAACGGGAUUAGAUACCCCGGUAGUCCUAGCUGUAAACGAUGGGCACUAGGUGUUGGGGGCAUCGACCCUCCCAGUGCUGUUAUGCUAACGCGUUAAGU
rnacentral:rRNA from 1 species